UGAACGCUGGCGGCGUGCCUAACACAUGCAAGUCGAACGAAGCGACUUUUCCCGGGAAAGAGGCGUGCUUGCACAAAUCGGACCCAUUUAAAGUGACUUAGUGGCGGACGGGUGAGUAACGCGUGGGUAACCUGCCUCACACAGGGGGAUAACAGUUAGAAAUGACUGCUAAUACCGCAUGAGCGCACAGUACCGCAUGGUAUGGUGUGAAAAGAUUUAUCGGUGUGAGAUGGACCCGCGUCUGAUUAGCCAGUUGGCAGGGUAACGGCCUACCAAAGCGACGAUCAGUAGCCGGCCUGAGAGGGUGAACGGCCACAUUGGGACUGAGACACGGCCCAAACUCCUACGGGAGGCAGCAGUGGGGGAUAUUGCACAAUGGGGGAAACCCUGAUGCAGCGACGCCGCGUGAGUGACGAAGUAUUUCGGUAUGUAAAGCUCUAUCAGCAGGGAAGAAAAUGACGGUACCUGACUAAGAAGCCCCGGCUAACUACGUGCC
rnacentral:rRNA from 1 species